rnacentral:rRNA from 1 species
GAUGAACGCUAGCUACAGGCUUAACACAUGCAAGUCGAGGGGCAGCGGGAUUGAAGCUUGCUUCAAUUGCCGGCGACCGGCGCACGGGUGAGUAACGCGUAUCCAACCUUCCGUACACUCAGGGAUAGCCUUUCGAAAGAAAGAUUAAUACCUGAUGGUAUGAUGAGAUUGCAUGAUAUCAUCAUUAAAGAUUUAUCGGUGUACGAUGGGGAUGCGUUCCAUUAGGUAGUAGGCGGGGUAACGGCCCACCUAGCCAACGAUGGAUAGGGGUUCUGAGAGGAAGGUCCCCCACAUUGGAACUGAGACACGGUCCAAACUCCUACGGGAGGCAGCAGUGAGGAAUAUUGGUCAAUGGACGAGAGUCUGAACCAGCCAAGUAGCGUGAAGGAGGAAGGUCCUACGGAUUGUAAACUUCUUUUAUAAGGGAAUAAACCCUCCCACGUGUGGGAGCUUGUAUGUACCUUAUGAAUAAGCAUCGGCUAACUCCGUG